AAAAAAAGAAAGAAAUUGCAAGCAGGAAUGCAAAAUUUGGAGAAGUUUGGCUUUUCGGCGAUCACCGCGGUCGAGCCUGCGUAGAGAUCAUCUCCAGCUUACGACCAUAGAGUCUCAACAUCUUUCUAGAGUCUCAACGUCAUCAUUCCCUCCAGAUACACAAUUGCAGGGGGUCUCCAAACCCGGUCCAUGGACCAGCACCGGACUGUGGCAUGCCAGCAACUGUGCAAACAAGCCAAGCCCCAUCUGCGGGAUGCAGUGGCACGCGAAACCAGGCCCCGCUUUGGUCUGCAGAAAAACCUAUCUCCACGGAAUUGGUCCCUGGGGCCCAAAAGGGCAGGUCAUCUGAAUGCCAAUGGAACCAGGGUUAGACCUGGGGUGCAAACAUUCUGACAGCCACUAGGAGGCAGUAAAGGAUGACUGUGGGAGGCUGUGCAUUAAGUGGGAGCAGUUGGUAUGGUAGCAAUUAAAUGACCAAAGGAAAAGACAUCGAAUAUAAAGCAUGGAAUAAGAGGGCUGGAAGAGGCCUUGGAAGUUUUCCAGUCCAUCCCCUGCUCAAACAGCUGUCCAAUCUCUUAUUGAAAACUUCCACUGAUGAAGCACCCACAACUUCUGGCUAAGAAGGCAAUCAGGCUCAAGCAUUACCAUUUGAAUAAGGAACCAUGAUGCUCUUUGGCCUCUGCUCUACUUCUGUGUGUGUGUGUGUGUGUGUGUUUGUGUGUGUGUGUGUUUGUCUCCCUCCCUCCCUCUCACACACACAUACACACACCUAUCUAUCAUCUGUCUAUCUAUGUAUAUAUAAACUUCUACAAUGCCCUUCUCGCUGAGGUGACUCUUCCCAUAACCUUUCCAUCCCUGAUGCUUCUCACAGUCU